rfam:Schistosoma mansoni strain Puerto Rico chromosome 2, complete genome
UUCCAGCUGACGAGUCCAAAAUAGGACGAAACGCUUGUCCUGAAU